UCGUGGGGGCGGCGCCUCUGAGACGCGUCUUCUACUAAGCCUGUCCGGGCACGCCAGUCGCCUCAAGGCUCCCAGAAGAUUAGCCUGGCAGUGCUUCAAGGCGUUUGGGUGGUUUUAGAAGACAAGAGCUGUUUCUUACCCGUCCGGUUAGCUUCAGCCUCCUACAGAGAGGCCAUGCCGAGACCCCGCAAGAGGCAGACUGGGACUGCUGGUCCAGACAGGAAGAAGCUAUCCGGGAAACGUACUAAAACUGAAAACUCAGAAAGUACAUCAGUCAAGCUAGAGAACUCCAGCCUUGAGAUGACGACAACCUUUAAAAAUGGUGGCAAGAAUUUAAGCAACUACUGGCUGAUGAAGUCAGAGCCAGAAAGCCGGCUAGAGAAAGGUAUAGACAUGAAGUUCAGCAUCGAGGAUCUCAAAGCACAGCCCAAGCAGACAGCUUGCUGGGAUGGUGUUCGCAACUAUCAGGCUCGGAACUUCCUCAGGGCCAUGAAAUUGGAGGAUGAAGCCUUCUUCUACCAUAGCAACUGCAAACAGCCUGGCAUUGUUGGACUUAUGAAGAUUGUAAAGGAGGCUUACCCAGACCACACACAGUUUGAGAAAAGUAAUCCCCAUUACGAUCCAUCCAGCAAAGAGGACGACCCUAAAUGGUCGAUGGUAAGAACUGUUCUUGUUUCAUAGGGCAGAGUGGACAAAAGGGGGAAAAGAAUGUGGGGUACUGUUAGGUCAGGGAGCACAGCCCAGCUCUCAGCUAGAUGAAGUUUUACUGAAUUGGGAUAUCAGAAUAUUGGCAGCCCUAAUACCAGGCACCUCCUGCAAAUAGCAAAAACUCUGGGUGUGCACAGAAGCAAGGCUGUACAUGCGCUUAGCUACUCGGUGGGCUGAGGCCUGAAAAUUGAUUCAGCAACAGGAAUUUAAGGACACACUAGGCAACACAGUGGACCCAUCCCUUAAAAUUGGGCAGGGUCUGGCCGAACGUGUUUCUGUUCCCUUCAAAUGCUGUCGAAUAGGUGGAUGUACAGUUUGUUCGAAUGAUGAAGCGCUUCAUCCCUCUGGAGGAGCUUAAAACCUAUCACCAAGCCCACAAAGCUACUGGCGGCCCCUUAAAAAGCAUGACUCUCUUCACCCGCCAGAGACUUUCCGUUCAGCCUCUGACUCAAGAAGAGUUUGAUUUUAUUUUGAGCCUGGAGGAAACAGAACCAAGUUAAUCAGAAGGCUCUACUGAUGGAGUGAACAAGCCAAGAUUUUAUAAGACAGAAGGAGAAAGCUUGCUGUAUCCACCUGGGGUCGUGUGCACGGAUGGUUUGUUAAUUUUCCUAAUAAAAGAUUUAAUGACAAGG